rnacentral:rRNA from 1 species
GAUGAACGCUGGCGGCGUGCUUAAUACAUGCAAGUCGAACGGUCAAGGCGGAGCCUGCCCUGCUGGACCAUUGGCGAAGGGGUGAGUAACACGCGAGCAAACUGCCCCUGUCAGUGGGAUAUGCCUUGGAAACGCCGGCUAAUAUUGGAUACGAUCUGUUAAGCCACCUUCAUCAGUUGGAAAGAACUGCGGUGUGGGAUGUGCUGGCAGGCUACGCGCUAGUUUGUGAAGUAACUGCUCACCAGGGCGUCGACGGAUAGCCUGCCUGAGAGCGUGACCAGCCACAAUGGGACUGAGAGACGGCCCAGACGGCAACGGGAGGCAGCAGUGGAGAAUAUUACACAGUAGGCGAGAGCCUGAUGCAGCGGCGCCGCGUGCGGAACAACGGCCUUCGGGUUGUAAACCUCUUUGUACAGAGAAAAGGCGAUAGUGACGGUACCUGAAGAAAAAGCGCCGGCUAACUACGUG